rnacentral:rRNA from 1 species
AACGAACGCUGGCGGCAGGCUUAACACAUGCAAGUCGAGCGCCCCGCAAGGGGAGCGGCAGACGGGUGAGUAACGCGUGGGAAUCUACCCAUCUCUACGGAAUAACGCAUGGAAACGUGUGCUAAUACCGUAUACGUCCUUCGGGAGAAAGAUUUAUCGCCGAAGGAUCGGCCCGCGUCUGAUUAGCUAGUUGGUGGGGUAACGGCCCACCAAGGCGACGAUCAGUAGCUGGUCUGAGAGGAUGAUCAGCCUCACUGGGACUGAGACACGGCCCAGACUCCUACGGGAGGCAGCAGUGGGGAAUAUUGGACAAUGGGCGCAAGCCUGAUCCAGCCAUGCCGCGUGGGUGAUGAAGGCCCUAGGGUUGUAAAGCCCUUUCGGCGGGGAAGAUAAUGACGGUACCCGCAGAAGAAGCCCCGGCUAACUUCGUGCCAGCCGCCGCGGUAAUAC